GAUGAACGCUGACAGAAUGCUUAACACAUGCAAGUCUACUUGAACUUCGGUUUGGGUGGCGGACGGGUGAGUAACGCGUAAAGAACUUGCCUCACAGAUAGGGACAACAUUUGGAAACGAAUGCUAAUACCUGAUAUUAUGAUUUUAGGGCAUCCUAGAAUUAUGAAAGCUAUAUGCACUGUGAGAGAGCUUUGCGUCACAUUAGCUAGUUGGAGAGGUAACGGCUCACCAAGGCGAUGAUGGGUAGCCGGCCUGAGAGGGUGAUCGGCCACAAGGGGACUGAGACACGGCCCUUACUCCUACGGGAGGCAGCAGUGGGGAAUAUUGGACAAUGGACCAAGAGUCUGAUCCAGCAAUUCUGUGUGCACGAUGAAGUUUUUCGGAAUGUAAAGUGCUUUCAGUUGGGAAGAAAAAAAUGACGGUACCAACAGAAGAAGUGACGGCUAAAUACGUG
rnacentral:rRNA from 1 species